rnacentral:rRNA from 1 species
GAUGAACGCUGGCGGCGUGCCUAAUACAUGCAAGUCGAGCGAACAGACGAGGAGCUUGCUCCUCUGACGUUAGCGGCGGACGGGUGAGUAACACGUGGAUAACCUACCUAUAAGACUGGGAUAACUUCGGGAAACCGGAGCUAAUACCGGAUAAUAUAUUGAACCGCAUGGUUCAAUAGUGAAAGACGGUUUUGCUGUCACUUAUAGAUGGAUCCGCGCCGCAUUAGCUAGUUGGUAAGGUAACGGCUUACCAAGGCAAUGAUGCGUAGCCGACCUGAGAGGGUGAUCGGCCACACUGGAACUGAGACACGGUCCAGACUCCUACGGGAGGCAGCAGUAGGGAAUCUUCCGCAAUGGGCGAAAGCCUGACGGAGCAACGCCGCGUGAGUGAUGAAGGUCUUCGGAUCGUAAAACUCUGUUAUUAGGGAAGAACAAAUGUGUAAGUAACUAUGCACGUCUUGACAGUACCUAAUCAGAAAGCCACGGCUAACUACGCG